rnacentral:rRNA from 1 species
AUUGAACGCUGGCGGCAUGCUUUACACAUGCAAGUCGAACGGCAGCGCGGGCUUCGGCCUGGCGGCGAGUGGCGAACGGGUGAGUAAUGCAUCGGAACGUGCCCAGUAGUGGGGGAUAGCCCGGCGAAAGCCGGAUUAAUACCGCAUACGACCUGAGGGUGAAAGCGGGGGACCGAAAGGCCUCGCGCCAUUGGAGCGGCCGAUGUCGGAUUAGCUAGUUGGUGGGGUAAAGGCUUACCAAGGCGACGAUCCGUAGCUGGACUGAGAGGACGACCAGCCACACGGGGACUGGGCCACGGCCCAGACUCCUACGGGAGGCAGCAGUGGGGAAUUUUGGACAGUGGGGGCAACCCUGAUCCAGCCAUGCCGCGUGCGGGAAGAAGGCCUUCGGGUUGUAAAGCGCUUUUGUUCGGGAAGAAAUCCUCUGGGCUAAUACCCCGGGGGAAUGACAGUACCGGAAGAAUAAGCACCGGCUAACUACGUG